rnacentral:rRNA from 1 species
CAACAUUCCGAAAGGGAUGCUAAUACCGAAUGUGCUCCCUCCUCCGCAUGGAGGAGGGAGGAAAGAUGGCCUCUGCUUGCAAGCUAUCGCUGGAAGAUGGGCCCGCGUCUGAUUAGCUAGUUGGUGGGGUAACGGCUCACCAAGGCGAUGAUCAGUAGCCGGUCUGAGAGGAUGAACGGCCACAUUGGGACUGAGACACGGCCCAAACUCCUACGGGAGGCAGCAGUGGGGAAUCUUCCGCAAUGGACGAAAGUCUGACGGAGCAACGCCGCGUGAGUGAUGAAGGUCUUCGGAUUGUAAAACUCUGUUGUUAGGGACGAAAGCACCGUGUUCGAACAGGUCAUGGUGUUGACGGUACCUAACGAGGAAGCCACGGCUAACUACGUGCCAGCAGCCGCGGUAAUACGUAGGUGGCAAGCGUUGUCCGGAAUUAUUGGGCGUAAAGAGCAUGUAGGCGGGCUUUUAAGUCUGACGUGAAAAUGCGGGGCUUAACCCCGUAUGGCGUUGGAUACUGGAAGUCUUGAGUGCAGGAGAGGAAAGGGGAAUUCCCAGUGUAGCGGUGAAAUGCGUAGAUAUUGGGAGGAACACCAGUGGCGAAGGCGCCUUUCUGGACUGUGUCUGACGCUGAGAUGCGAAAGCCAGGGUAGCAAACGGGAUUAGAUACCCCGGUAGUCCUGGCCGUAAACGAUGGAUACU